rnacentral:rRNA from 1 species
UACAGAGGUGGCAAGCGUUGUUCGGAAUCACUGGGCAUAAAGGGCGCGUAGGCGGCGAGGCAAGUCGGGUGUGAAAUCCCUCAGCUCAACUGAGGAACUGCGCCCGAAACUACCUUGCUAGAGUGCAGGAGAGGAGAGUGGAACUCCUAGUGGAGCGGUGAAAUGCGUAGAGAUUAGGAGGAACGCCGGUGGCGAAAGCGACUCUCUGGCCUGUAACUGACGCUGAGGCGCGAAAGCGUGGGGAGCGAUCCGG